UACGUAGGUCCCAAGCGUUAUCCGGAGUGACUGGGCGUAAAGAGUUGCGUAGGCGGCUAAGUAAGCGAGUGAUGAAAACUGUCGGCUCAACCGGCAGCCUGUUAUUCGUACUGCUUGGCUCGAGAGUAUCAGAGGUCGCUGGAAUUCCUAGUGUAGCAGUGAAAUGCGUAGAUAUUAGGAGGAACACCAAUGGCGUAGGCAGGCGACUGGGGUAUUUCUGACGCUAAGGCACGAAAGCGUGGGUAGCGAACCGG
rnacentral:rRNA from 1 species